UAGACAUCAAAGUUCUUCUCUUUUCUUCAGCGUUCUAUCGAGGAUGCAAUUGACAUUGUGCCUUCUCAUAUCCAUAGUGAAGCAAUUGGAGCAGUAGUUAAAGGUUGUACUCUUCUGAUUAAAGGAGACGACAAGACAUAGAAAAUCCAUCAUUGGACAAGGAAGAAAGGGAAAGAAAUAUCUUAUGAACAGUAUGAGGAACAAUUACCUAAAAUCUUAUUCCAUGUGCUUAUACAUAGCCAGAUCCCUAAGAUUAUUCAUCGAGACAUCGAGUGUGACAAUGUGUUUGUUGCUAGUGAUGGGAAGCAAGUUACACUUUUGAGAUUUUGGGUUGGCUGUUUGUAUUAUGGAUGGUGAUUUUAUGAAAGAAAAAGAGCCUAAAGGUACCCUUGAAUUCAUGGCUCCAGGGUGCUACAAUGAUGAAUACAAUGAAUUGAUCGAUGUAUAUUCAUUUGGGAUGUGUCUUCUUGAGAUGGUUACCGGUGAAUAUCCAUAUAUGGAGUGCAGCAAUCAAAUGCAUAUAUGAGUGUGCACUGGUGUAAAGCCUGUGUCUCUCGAAAAGGUGAAGGAUUACAGAGUGAAAGAUAUUACAGAGAUAUUAUUGAGAAGUGUAUGCUUUCUAUGUCUGUUAAGCCGUCUUCAGAAGAGUUGCUGAAAGAUCAAUUCUUUCUAAACGGUGGAUCAUUUAAUAUGCUCUGACUGCAAGCAAAUCAACAAGGAUUCUUUAGCAAAUUCGUUCAUCAUUUCAAUCACCGAGAAGGAUAUUGCUAGCAACCUACCAUUGCCAGUCACUGCACCGACUACUCUAGAAAGCAGCAAACGCAAACUGAAGAAAAUCAUGACAAAGAAAGACUAAAAAGGUGUUUUGAUGAUCCUCACAAAUGCGAGGACCUUGUUCCUGGUAGAGUGCUCUCGUCCAAAUACAAAUGGGGUACAGUCAUAAAAGUUGUCAUGUCAGGUGGUAGGUGAAAAGUGCAGUAUCCUACACCAAUAAGAAGCGCGGAUGAGAUUGUAUGUUUCAGUAUCUCACAAAUGCAGGGACCUGGUACCAGGCAGAGUUUCCUCCAUCAGAUACAUAUAUGGUAACAGCUGUAAAGGUUGGUAAGGCGUCAGUGUACUACACCAAUCAGAAUGGAGGAGGGCGUUUGUCCAACGGAUAAUAACUCUUUAUGUUUAUUAUAUUCGUUCAUCAAAAGAAGGAAGUCAGCCAAUAAGCCUUUUCAAGAACUUAUAUAGAAGUUUGCAAGGGAGUUGGUUCCCGCAAGCAAGGGACCUGGUACCCGCAAGACUGCGACAUGAAAAGGACGAAAAGACAGCUGUCAGAAAAGCUGACAUCUCUGAUGCGGUAGGUGCACAUCUUUUCCAAUAGCAGGCCUUCAGCUAAUGGGAUGACUUCAACGAAUUUGUGGGAAUUUAUAUUAUCUCUUUCCAACAAACACAAAUUCAAGACUUGGCAAAUUAAAUUUGGAUUUUCUCUGAAAAUUCACAAGUUUGAACAGAAGGCCAUCUUCAAGGAAGAACAUUGCUCAACUCAACAGAAGAACCUAAUAGAGUAAAGAAGAAUCUUUGUUGUAUUUAGAGUUUUGUGUCUAUGUAUUUACAUUGUAAAUCUGUUCCUAAUCUAUAAAGGAUUCAGAUAUUUGUUUUGGGUUUGUAAAAGUCUAAAUCAGUUAAGGUUACCUAAUUUAGUGGGAAACAUUAUUUUGUUGAUUAGUCAAAUUCUAAGUCAUAUAGAGUUAGGUGGUUUAGUGGGUCGUGUGGUAUUCGCUUAGGAUCUUCAAGUAAUAGGUAGAUUACUUAAUCGUGAGAUUAAUAACUUUUUCAUACAUUGAUUGUAACCGGGUUUCACUUUUGCUUGAGAAGAUUAGUGAAGACGGUUGUAAAUCCUGUGCAACAGGUCAUGGUUUUACUCCCUUGAGCAAGGAGGUUUCCACGUAAACUUAUUGUAGUGUGUUCUUCAUAUUGUUUAAUCUUCUGCACUGUUUUUGCUGUGUCAAGGGACCUGGU